GUGCGGUUGGCGCAGUGGUCAGCGCGUUCGCUUCUCAACGCGGAAGGUUCCAGUACCGAAUAUGGGGGUUGGCACACCUCAUUAGACAGUGCUGGAAUCCGCGGUGGCUGCGAAAGGUCCUGGGUUCGACUCCCAGACUGCACA